UCAAGUCACUGAUGACUGGUCAUCUAAAUUGCAUCCCAACUCUCAAAACACCCAUCUCCAAGUUCAACCAAAUCAGCUUCCAGCAUAUUCUUCGUUCCCUUCAACAACCCUAUUGUCCUUCCUUUAACCAUCUUCCUUCCGUAAAUCGUUGUUCGACUUAACAGACCCAAUAUUUACUUCUCUGUAGUGAAAAAUCCAACCCAGUCUUCUUUAGCCCAACCCAUUUACAAUCUCUUAAUUUUGUCCCAAUUUUACAUCGCUUCAAAAGAAACCCUAACUGUCGAUUGUAGUAAUGAGCUAUUGAAUACAAGAAUCUUUGAAUCUAUUGCAGUCUUCGUCUCUUCCACCUGUCGAUUGUCUACUCAUUGGCGCUCUUUUUCCUCCAAUAGUCUAUUUGUGUUCCGGUGGUAGCCUACGGUGGUUUUGGCCGCUUCUUCUGUGCUUUUGUUUGUUCAGGUUGCUAUGUAUCGGUUUUGCACAUUCUGUUUGAUCAUCUUUUCGAUGCACAUAAAUGAAAAUCAAGACAAUCCUGGCUCUACAAUACAGUUCUGCAACGACAAAGAUUGAAGUCUGUGUGUCAAGAAAGUAGCACCUUACUUCAAAUCCUAUAAGACAAGGGGGAUGCUAUCCAAAUUUUAGGCAAAAAGCAAACCAACCUUAUGGUGUAGUAAGAUUUAGAGGUUUGGUGUACGAUAGUGGUGAUUACUCAUCGGAAUCAACACUUCUGGUGAUGGAACAUGUCCGACGACAAAUCGCGAGGGACAACGAAAGUCAAUGCCAGUGUUCAGCAAUCUUUAUUGAUUUUGGAGUAAUGAUAGCGAUCACUUCGAACUGCAAAGAGGACUCAAUGGCAAUGAACAAUGGCAAAUAUGUUCGGUUCACACCAGAACAUUGCCCAAAACCGUGCUCACAACAAAAACAAGUCAUUCACGAGUGCCCUAUCCUCUCAAACAUCGAGCCAAAGUAGAUCAAAGUCCGGUUUCAGAAUCGAAGGUCAAAUCUAUUUUUUUAAAUAAACUCUUCACUUUGAAACAACCCUUUCCGAUGUGGGAAUAAUUAAUUAACUAAUUCAUAAGGCACAAAUUUUAGCUUUAUAAGAAGCCUAUGCAGAUAGAAUUGAACCACCAGUCACCUUCCAUUGUUCUUGUCUUCUUAAUGUCACAAAAACAUUAAAUUUGGAUUUUUGAGGUAAAAAUGGCAGGAGGGGAUUAUUCAAGUGAAACGAAGCUUCAUCAAACACCAACAUGGGCUGUUGCUGGUGUAUGUGCAAUUAUCAUUAUCAUCUCCAUAGCUUUAGAAAAAGUUCUUCAUAAACUUGGAAAGCUUGGUCGAGUAGCGGCUCCCGGAGUGGGAUCACUCCAGCGGGUGGGAGGACCGUGCACUAUCCCCCCCCUACUUGGCCUUCUUUAAGAUUGAUUACCAACAAUAAACCCACGCUGCACAGAUUAUCUUAGCCAUUGGAACAAAGCUUCAAGCCAUCUUGACAAUAAUGGCUAUUGAAAUAAAGGAAAGACAUGCAGUUGUCCAAGGGAUUCCUCUUGUGAAGACCUCUGAUAAAUACUUUUGGUUCUCGAGGCCGAGCCUAAUGCUUCAUCUCAUACACUUUGCUUUGUUUCAGUAUGAGUAUGGUAUCAGUUCUUGCUUCCAUGACACUAUGGAACUUGUGAUUAUAAAACUUCUUAUUGGGGUUGGAACUCUAAUCUUGUGCACCUAUAUAACACUUCCACUAUACGCGCUUCUAUCACAGAUGGGGUCCAACAUGAAGAAAUCCAUAUUUGACGAACAAACUGCUCGCGCCCUGCAAAAUUGGCGAAUGGCGGUGAAGAGGAAGCAUGAAGGCAAGGGUGGAAACUCCCCAAACCGAUCAGUAGGGAAUAGUCCUACUGCUAGCCCCGUUCAUUCACCUUUCCACCCGACAACUGCAGCUACACUCCACCGUUCAAAGACAACCGGUCAGCCCACACGCUUUGCUGCCCAUGAUGACACUAAAGUGCUCAAUAUCUUGUCGGGUUAUAUAUUGAUCUUCCGGUUCUUGCUCAGAUUGAUUUACUUCAUUAAUUGGUUCAUUGUUAGCGUUUAACUAAUGCAUCAGAUUUCAAAGCUUUCAAAGCUGAACCGCUUUCUCAUGAAUCAUCUACCAGACACUUGAUUGAAUCGACGGUUGUUUGUCACAGUGAUCAUGAGAUUAAGUUAGAUCUAUCAACUCAACAAGAAGUUGAAACAAGAAAUCAGGCAUUGAAAUAGUUGAAAACUGCAUUAAAGAUGUUUAUAUUCACAGGGUUUAUGCUUACAUUUGUUAUUUGUCUAAAUAUAUCUUCUUGUAUAAAUGUGUAUACAGAAAAUUCUAUAUACUCUUAAAACCCUAUGUCGGUGUUGUCCUUUCAUAGGUUUUUUUUUCUAGCAA